GAUGAACGCUGACAGAAUGCUUAACACAUCAGCAAUUAAUUGGUGGCGGACGGGUGAGUAACGCGUAAAGAACUUACCUCACAGUUAGGGACAACAUUUGGAAAGGAAUGCUAAUACCUAAUACUGUGAGAGAGCUUUGCGUCCCAUUAGCUAGUUGGAGAGGUAACGGAGCACAAAGGCGAUGAUGGGUAGCCGGCCUGAGAGGGUGAUCGGACACAAGUGGACUGAGACGCUGCACGUACUCUUACGUGCGGCAGCAGUGGGGAAUAUUCGACAAUGGACCAAAGUCUGAUCCAGCAAUUCGGUGUGCACGAUUAAGUUUUCGGAAUGUAAAGUGCUUUCAGUAAGGAAGCGGUACCAACAGAAGAAGUGACGGCUAAAUACGUGCCAGCAGCCGCGGUAAUAC
rnacentral:rRNA from 1 species